rnacentral:rRNA from 1 species
UUCCGGUUGAUCCUGCCGGAGGUCAUUGCUAUUGGAGUCCGAUUUAGCCAUGCUAGUUGCACGAGUUGAGACUCGUAGCAGAUAGCUCAGUAACACGUGGCCAAACUGCCCUAUGGAUCCGAACAACCUCGGGAAACUGAGGCUAAUUCGGAAUACGAUUCCCGCGCUGGAACUGCGGGGAAUCAGAAACGUUACGGCGCCAUAGGAUGUGGCUGCGGCCGAUUAGGUAGACGGUGGGGUAACGGCCCACCGUGCCGAUAAUCGGUACGGGUUGUGAGAGCAAGAGCCCGGAGACGGUAUCUGAGACAAGAUACCGGGCCCUACGGGGCGCAGCAGGCGCGAAACCUUUACACUGCACGCGAGUGCGAUAAGGGGACUCCAAGUGCGAGGGCAUAUCGUCCUCGCUUUUCGCGACCGUAAGGUGGUCGCAGAAUAAGUGCUGGGCAAGACCGGUGCCAGCCGCCGCGGUAAUACCGGCAGCACGAGUGAUGACCGCUAUUAUUGGGCCUAAAGCGUCCGUAGCUGGCCGGCCAAGUCCAUCGGGAAAUCCGCGCGCUUAACGCGCGGGCGUCCGGUGGAAACUGGCUGGCUUGGGACCGGAAGAUCCAGAGGGUACGUCCGGGGUAGGAGUGAAAUCCCGUAAUCCUGGACGGACCACCGGUGGCGAAAGCGCUCUGGAAAGACGGAUCCGACGGUGAGGGACGAAAGCUCGGGUCACGAACCGGAUUAGAUACCCGGGUAGUCCGAGCUGUAAACGAUGUCUGCUAGGUGUGGCACAGGCUACGAGCCUGUGCUGUGCCGUAGGGAAGCCGUGAAGCAGACCGCCUGGGAAGUACGUCCGCAAGGAUGAAACUUAAAGGAAUUGGCGGGGGAGCACUACAACCGGAGGAGCCUGCGGUUUAAUUGGAUUCAACGCCGGA